rnacentral:tRNA from 4 species
GGGGAUGUAGCUCAGCUGGGAGAGCGAUGCGUUCGCAACGCAUAGGCCAGGAGUUCAAUCCUCCUCAUCUCCACCA